rnacentral:rRNA from 1 species
AGUUUGAUCAUGGCUCAGAUUGAACGCUGGCGGCAUGCCUUACACAUGCAAGUCGAACGGCAGCACGGGAGCUUGCUCCUGGUGGCGAGUGGCGAACGGGUGAGUAAUACAUCGGAACGUACCCUGAAGUGGGGAUAACGUAGCGAAAGUUACGCUAAUACCGCAUAUUCUGUGAGCAGGAAAGAGGGGGAUCGCAAGACCUCUUGCUUUAGGAGCGGCCGAUGUCGGAUUAGCUAGUUGGUGAGGUAAAGGCUCACCAAGGCGACGAUCCGUAGCGGGUCUGAGAGGAUGAUCCGCCACACUGGGACUGAGACACGGCCCAGACUCCUACGGGAGGCAGCAGUGGGGAAUUUUGGACAAUGGGCGCAAGCCUGAUCCAGCCAUGCCGCGUGAGUGAGGAAGGCCUUCGGGUUGUAAAGCUCUUUCGGUGGGGAAGAAAUUGCUUCGGUUAAUACCUGGAGUAGAUGACGGUACCCGCAUAAGAAGCACCGGCUAACUACGUG